AGCGAACGCUGGCGGCAGGCCUAACACAUGCAAGUCGAACGAACCUUUCGGGGUUAGUGGCGGACGGGUGAGUAACACGUGGGAACGUGCCUUUAGGUUCGGAAUAACUCAGGGAAACUUGUGCUAAUACCGAAUGUGCCCUUCGGGGGAAAGAUUUAUCGCCUUUAGAGCGGCCCGCGUCUGAUUAGCUAGUUGGUUGAGGUAAUGGCUCACCAAGGCGACGAUCAGUAGCUGGUCUGAGAGGAUGAUCAGCCACAUUGGGACUGAGACACGGCCCAAACUCCUACGGGAGGCAGCAAUGGGGAAUCUUGCGCAAUGGGCGAAAGCCUGACGCAGCCAUGCCGCGUGAAUGAUGAAGGUCUUAGGAUUGUAAAAUUCUUUCACCGGGGACGAUAAUGACGGUACCCGGAGAAGAAGCCCCGGCUAACUUCGUG
rnacentral:rRNA from 1 species